rnacentral:lncRNA from 1 species
GUUUUAUGGGAAAUUUCUAAUAGUGUUUUCUUUAACGUGGUUUGCAAAUAAUAAUAGGAAAUAUACAUUAAACUUUGGGCCAAAGAGCUUUAAUGGAGAUGCUGGGGGCUAGCAAAUGCAGGGGGAAGAUAAGGGUGAAGAGCUGUGAACCUUUACAGCUGAACCCAAUAACAGAACAGCUGUAUUUAUUUAUUUAUUUGUUUGUUCAUUUAUUCAACAAAGAGUAAGGGAACAGGUAUAUUGCAGAGGUUGCUGGGGAGUAUUUUUCUUUCUUUUUUUCCCAGUAGUUUAGAUAUAAUAUAAAGAUGAAGUUUGAGUCAGGAGCUAUUUCUGAAAUAAUAAUAGUAGUCUUCUGGAAAACACAUCUCCUUCUGUGCUGAGCUUUUCCUUCAGACUAAGGAGCUUAACUGCGGGAGGGGGAAGAAGCUUUCAAAAGCAGGACUUACAUGGCAUCAAAAUUUGUCACUGCUAUUCAAGAAUGGUUCUGGACGUUUUGUAAAGGACCUCAAGCCAAGGCACCACGUGAGUCUCUAUCAGAGAUAGAGAGCUCGGUAAUUCGUGAAGACGAUGACUGUGCAUCAAAAGUAAUAGAGGUUCUUACUGCAAGCAUGUCAUCUUGUACCAGGUCUGAGACACCUUAUUAUUCCCAGCCUGUAGCAAGAAGGAAAACUGCUUUUUCCCCAUUUCAGGUUAGAACAUUCCUGCAAUUUCAUUAUCCUGGAGGCUGGACUGGGAUCAGGUCAUCAGUGAUGUGCGGGACUGAGAGCUUUUCUAAGAUGCAUUUUAAUUAACCACUGGGGAAAAGCACUGGAGUACAAGGAUUUAAACGAACAGGAAUAUUUCAUUUCAGCUCUGAUGGUGCAAUGCAAACUAAGUUAAAGUGGCUUUCCUCCUAAACCACAGAAAUAAGGCAGAACUUGCUGUCAUCAUUUUAGGAAGCCUGGACUGGACUCUGCAGUUUCAGGAAAUUUUUCAGUGUGUGGAGAGCCAGAGUGGGAGAGAAACUGACUUAUUUGUAUGGACCUAGUUAUGGCAUUGUUAGUAGCACAGAAGGAGAAUCUGCCUUCUCUCUCAGGCAGGUUUGUUUUGGUUGGGUGUUACACAACAGGAAUGUAGCUCUGACUGUCUCAGUGAGCAGCACUGAAACCACCUUCUCUGUGCACAUCCAAGAUGUUUAUAAAUGCAAAGAGAAGUAGAUUGAUAAUAGGCCACCAGAUGAAUAGCUUUGCCAAGAUAUCUCCUCAUUUUCACGUUGCCUGAGAAUAAU